ensembl:lncRNA
GGGGUAUAGUCAAUAGCAUUGUAUUAACUUUGGUGAUAGACUUACUGUGGUACAUUUAUAUACUUGCAAGAGUCAGAAAACAAACAAGUAAACAAAGGAAAUUUCAGAUAAGGAUAUUUGAGCUGAGACUGAGGUGAUGAAAAGGAACCGGACAUACAGACAUCUGGGAGAAAGUUGUUUCAGGAAGAGACAACAGAAGGUGCAAAGUUCCAGACUUUUGAGUGAGGUUGGCAUGCUUCAGGAACCAAAAGAGGUCCACCUACGUGUCUGACCUACGGCAAGGGAAGUGGAUAUCUCAGGAGGCAUGUGGGAUCUCAACUCCCCAACCAGAGACUGAGUCCACCACACCCCCUGCAUUGGAAGGUGAAGUCAACCACUGGACCACUGGUGGGAGUUCCAGCCCCCUCACGUUUCCAUCAGCACUUGUCGCUUCAGUCGCGUCUGACUCUGUGCGACCCCAGAGACGGCAGCCCACCAGGUUCCCCCGUCCCUGGGAUUCUCCAGGCAAGAACACUGGAGGGGGUUGCCAUUUCCUUCUCCAAUGCAUGAAAGUGAAAAGUGAAAGUGAAGUCGCUCAGUCGUGUCCGACUCCUAGCGACCCCAUGGACUGCAGCCUACCAGGCUCCUCCAUCCAUGGGAUUUGCCAGGCAAGAGUACUGGAGUGGGGUGCCAUUGCCCUCUCCCUAAUGACUAGCAAUUUGGCACAGUUUUUCAUGUGUAUAUUUGUCAGAUACAUAUCUUCUUUGAUGUCAUGUCUGUUCAAAUCUUUAGCUCAUUUUUCUACUGGGUUGUUUGUUUUUUAUUAUUGAGUUUUAAGAUACUACUGUUGACUGAAUUGUGUCCCCACAAAUUCAUACGUUGAAGCACUAACCCCCUAUCCCACUACUUCAUGUAUUUGGAAACAGAAGUUUUAGAGGUUAAUUAAGAUUAAUGAGGUCAUAAGGUUGGAGUCUAAGAAUUGGUGGCCUUACAGGAAGGUAGUGCCUGGGCCCUGAGGACAGGCUUUGUGAGGACACGGGAAACAGGCUGAUGCUACGGGCCAGAAAUAGAGUCCUCACCAGCGCUCAGCCCUGCUGGCACUCUGAUCUCAGAUUUCUAGACUCCAGAACUGAGAGAAAAUAAAUUUCUGCUGGUUAAGCCACCCAGUCAAUGGAAUUUUUGUUAUGAAUCCUGAGCACACGAGAUGGAUUACAUAUAUCUGAUACGUAUGGAUAUGUAGACAUACACCCACAUGUAUGUAACAUAUGCAUUUUUCUUAUUACAAGCCCUUAUGAGAUAUAUGCUUUGCAAAUACUUUCUCACAGUCUCAGGCUUUUCCUUCCAUUUUAAAAACUGUUUAUAGAAGAACAGAUGUUUUUAGUUUUGAUAAAGUUCAAUUUAUUAAUUCUUUCCUUUUGGAAACAUGCUUUGUGUGUCAAAUAUAAGAAAACAUCGCCUAACUCAAGGUCCCAAAGAUUUUCUCCUGUGUUUUCCCUUAGGAAUUUUAUAGGUUUAUGUUUUAGGUUUCAGUCUGUAAUUAAUUUUGAGUUAAUUUGUGUUUCAUGCAAAGUAUGAAGCAAAGUACAGUGGGGGUUUUCUUCAUGUAGAAAUACAGUCACUACAUAUUGUAGCUUUAUAAUAAAUUUUGAAGUCAUGUAGUGUUAGUCUUCCAACUGUAUUCUUCUUUUUUCAAAGUUGUUUUGGCUACUGUAGGUCUGCAUUUCUAAAUAAAUUUUGGGAUCACUGUGAUUUUCUUUUUUAAAAUAUUUAUUUUGCUGCACAGGGUCUUAGUUGCAGACUAUGGGAUCUUAGUUCCCUGACCAGGGACUGAACUCGGGCCCCUUGCAUUUGGAGCAUGGAGUCUUAACCACUGGACACCCAGGGAAAUUCCUCAAUUAAAAAAAUAUAUAUAUCUGCUGGGAUUUUGAUUGAGAUUUCAUUGAAUAUAUACACCACUUGGGGGGAAUUAACAUUUUAGCAAUGGUGGGUGUUUCUGAUCUUUGAACACAGUGCAUGCGUGCUAGGUCACUUCAGUUGUGUCCACCUCUUCAGGACACUAUGGACUGUAGCAUGCCAGGCUCCUCUGUCCAUGGGAUUAUCCAGGCAAGAAUACUGGAGUGGAUUGCCGUGCCCUCCUCCAGUGGAUCUUCUCCACCCAGGGAUCAAACCUGUACCUCCUGCAUUGCAGGUACAUUCUUUACCCCUGAGCCACCAGGAAAGCCCCUUGAACACAGUAUGUCUCUCUAUUCACUUAGGCAUUUUUGCCAGAUUUAUCCCUAUGUAUUUCAUUUUUUGAAUGUCAUGUAAAUGAUUUUAAAAAUUGUUUCAGUUUCCAUUUAUUCAUUACUAGUAAAUAAAUAUACGAGUUUAAAAAUAUCAACCUUGUGUUCUGCAAACCUGCUUAAUUCACUUACUAGUUCUAAUGGCUAUUUGGGGGUAAAUUCCAUCAGGUUUUCUAUCCAUACAGUCAUAUCAUCUAUGA